rnacentral:rRNA from 1 species
AUCGAACGCUGGCGGCAGGCCUAACACAUGCAGGUCGAACGGUAACAGGAAGCAGCUUGCUGCUUCGCUGACGAGUGGCGGACGGGUGAGUAAUGUCUGGGAAACUGCCUGAUGGAGGGGGAUAACUACUGGAAACGGUAGCUAAUACCGCAUAACGUCGCAAGACCAAAGAGGGGGACAUUAGGGCCUCUUGCCAUCGGAUGCGCCCAGCUGGGAGUAGCUAGUAGGUGGGGUAACGGCUCACCUAGGCGACCAUCGCUAGCUGGUCUGAGAGGAUGACCAGCCACACUGGAGCUGAGACACGGACCAGACUCCUGCGGGAGGCAGCAGUCGGGAAUAUUGCACAAUGGGGGCAAGCCUGAUGCAGCCAUGCCGCGUGUAUGAAGAAGGCCUUCGGGUUGUAAAGUACUUUCAGCGGGGGGAAAGGGAGUAAAGUUAAUACCUUUGCUCAUUGACGUUACCCGCAGAAGAAGCACCGGCUAACUCCGUG